GAGCUCUGUUGGAGGAAGCCGAAACCUGAAGGAACCCUGCUGCAGUAUCUCAACGUUGCAAAGUCUCACACUCAGGCCAGGAUAGCUAAUCUUCUUACUACUCACAAGGCUGGACUGUUGGAACAGAACAAAGUUCACACUGACAACAGAGGGAGAGUGGCGGGGAGUCAAGAACAGCGGCAGAUUUGAUCAAAUAGCCAAAGCAGAGGAAAAGAUUAGGCAUCAGAGCAAGAAUGUCUUUUUAGUUGUUUUUUUUUUUGUGCAAAAUGAAUAAAUACAUUGCUGUCACACUCUGGCAGAGGUUGGACCUGGCGACAUGUACUAUAUCCACACACUGAAGGAUCCUGAAAACUAACAAGCAUGGAGGUGCUGAGUGGCCCCUGGGCUGAUCUGGCCCUUUUCCUGCAACAGGCUGCCACACACAGAGACACGGACAGCUUUCUUCCUCUCUGGCUGCUUGGAUUGUUGCUGUUCCUGUCAGUCUGUCUGCUGCUGCUGCAACUAAUCGUCUACUUCAGCUGGAAACUCAGACAGGCUGAAGGGGAUCUGUCCAGGUUUGAGCAGGACCGAAGUUCCAUACACAGGCAGAGGAACAAAAGUGCCAGUCAGAGGAGGAGAAGUUUUGGAUCACAUUCCUAUUCCUGACAGGAAUCUCUUAACAGUGACGGACAAAUUUGACUUAUGUACAUAUAAUAUCUGAACACUACUCGGUGUGGAUACAUCUCCAAAUGUGUGAUAACUCUUUUGCAGCGUUUUUUAAAAAUUGGAUACUGUAAUGUUCAUAUUAUGUAUGAUACUGAUCUUCUACACAGUUCUCAGCUUAUGUACGUCAGUUUGCAUUAUUUAGGUUUUAAUAUAAAUAAAAUAAGUGCCUGGAAAAAAAAAAAAA